rnacentral:rRNA from 1 species
UACGUAGGAGACGAGCGUUGUCCGGAAUUACUGGGCGUAAAGCGCGUGUAGGCGGAUGAGCAAGUCUGCUGUGAAAUCUCCUGGCUUAACCGGGAGUGGUCGGUGGAAACUGCUCGUCUGGAGGACGGUAGAGGUAGGUAGAAUUCCCGGUGUAGUGGUGAAAUGCGUAGAGAUCGGGAGGAAUACCUGUGGCGAAGGCGGCCUACUGGGCCGGACCUGACGCUGAGACGCGAAGGCGUGGGGAGCGAACGGG